rnacentral:rRNA from 1 species
GACGAACGCUGGCGGCGUGCUUAACACAUGCAAGUCGAACGAAGAGCGAUGGAAGCUUGCUUCUAUCAAUCUUAGUGGCGAACGGGUGAGUAACGCGUAAUCAACCUGCCCUUCAGAGGGGGACAACAGUUGGAAACGACUGCUAAUACCGCAUACGAUCUAAUCUCGGCAUCGAGGAUAGAUGAAAGGUGGCCUCUACAUGUAAGCUAUCACUGAAGGAGGGGAUUGCGUCUGAUUAGCUAGUUGGAGGGGUAACGGCCCACCAAGGCGAUGAUCAGUAGCCGGCCUGAGAGGAUGAACGGCCACAUUGGGACUGAGACACGGCCCAGACUCCUACGGGAGGCAGCAGUGGGGAAUCUUCCGCAAUGGACGAAAGUCUGACGGAGCAACGCCGCGUGAGUGAUGACGGCCUUCGGGUUGUAAAGCUCGGUUAAUCGGGACGAAAGGCCUUCUUGCGAAUAGUGAGAAGGAUUGACGGUACCGGAAUAGAAAGCCACGGCUAACUACGUG